AAUGAUAAUAUCUAGGUAGUAAUAAAAAUAAAACCAAUAAAGCUUGGCAGUUAUACUUAUCUAGAGAAACUUGUUUUAUAAUCGAUAAAACUCGAUAAAUUUAACUUAAUCAAUAAAACUUAUAUACCGCCGUUUCAGAAAUAACUAAAACAAAAUUUCCCAUUAAAAAAAUUUAAAAAAAUCAGGUCAAGGUAUAGUCAAUGUCUAAGUAAAAAUUAGUUACAAAUAAAUAUAAAUUUAAGAACAUCUAUUUAAAUAACACCUAGAAAAAGAAUCUAUAAUCAAUUAUAAAUCAAAAAUUAAUAAUGAAACACACCAUUAUAAUGC
rnacentral:rRNA from 1 species